CUCUAUAGAAGCUUAAAUACAGCGCUGGUCUUUUAAACCAGCGAUGGGAGCUCCGUGUCCCCCCAUAGAGA
rnacentral:tRNA from 1 species